CAUAAAUCUCAAACUCUAAACUACACAAGUUUAUGGCUUAAACUUUAAACUACAUUAAAUAAAAACAUACAGAUGUUAUAAUUAACUUCCAAAUCCAAAAUUUUGAAACUGUAAACCUUAGCCCUAAACCCUGACUAUAACAUAAAUCCAACUAUUAAACUUUUAAAUCAUAAAACUAAAAUAUAGUGUUAAGUAGUAAAGUAAAGAGUAUUGUAUCAUAUAAUAGAAUUCAAAGUAGUUAUACAUAUAUAAUUAAAUGUGCAUAAAGUAAAGUACCAAAACUAUUAGUUUUUUUAUUGGCUAAUAUCAUAUUGCAAGGAUUGGCAAUCUCCACCAUUGAUUAUAGCGUUUGAUUAUAUUAGUUUAAUAAUGGUCCAAAUCUGCGCCCUUUCUCCUAAUUGGCUAAUACAUGACUCCCAAGAUUGCCAUCUCAGCCAUUAAUUUCAUUUUAAUCUAAGGGUAAAAACUUUUUUGGUUUUCUCUACUCUCUCCGACAUUUUCUUUCUUCUUUCUCCUCAUUCAUCUCUUCUGCAAACAGAAGAUAUCUCUCAUUCAAUUCACAAUUGUUUCUUUCUCUUCCUUUCUCAAACACAAAUGCACGAGUAAAGAUUGAUUAAUUUAUACAAACAAUUGUAUUUAACUCCAGCAAUCCAACGUAUUCUGAAGCUGUUCAACAAUCUAAGUACAGAUUGAUUGGAGAAUCCAGUCAAACAUACGUCUCAAGAACUGGAUUCUGGCGGAGAAGAGAUGCCAUAUGCGGCGGAGGAAUUGAGAUCCAGGCGAGUCAUCAAUGGACUUGGCGCUGUUGCCUGAAGGUUGAAGAACCAAAGAACGGGAAGCAGAAGGUGGAACAGGAAGAAGAAGAAAAGACGGCGUGACAUAGUGUGAUGGUGUACUAGCGCGACGCCGCGCUUGGUAAAACGGAGCAACACGACGGCUCUUCAGCUCCAGCCAUACACUUCCUCGUGGCGGCGCAAGAGGCUAUCCAAGACAUAGGUUUAUGUUAUUUUGUAAACCAGUUUGUAAACCAAUUUAAAUUUGUAAACCAUAAAUACUAUUGUUAAUAAAAUAAAAUCAUUUGUUUUGUCUAGAUA